rnacentral:rRNA from 1 species
AUUGAACGCUGGCGGCAGGCCUAACACAUGCAAGUCGAACGAGUGGCGGACGGGUGAGUAAUGUCUGGGAAACUGCCCGAUGGAGGGGGAUAACUACUGGAAACGGUAGCUAAUACCGCAUACCAUCGGAUGUUCCCAGAUGGGAUUAGCUGGUAGGUGGGGUAACGGCUCACCAAGGCGACGCUCCCUAGCUGGUCUGAGAGGAUGACCAGCCACACUGGAACUGAGACACGGUCCAGACUCCUACGGUAGGCAGCAGUGGGGAAUAUUGCACAAUGGGCGCAAGCCUGAUGCAGCCAUGCCGCGUGUAGGAAGAAGGCCUUCGGGUUGUAAAGUACUUUCAGCGGGGAGGCGUUACCCGCAGAAGAAGCACCGGCUAACUCCGUGCCAGCCGCCGCGGUAAUUC